AUCCAGCUGGUGAGUCCCAAAUAGGACGAUACGUGCGUCCUGGAU
rnacentral:hammerhead_ribozyme from 2 species